GAAAGAAAGGGGGAGAGAACAGAGGCACAGGGAGGAAAGGAAGGAAGAAUGGAGAAGAGGAAGAAGGGAGAAGAGGAGAGGAGAGGAGAGGAGGCGAGGGGAGAAGAAGGGAACCAGAAGGGGAACCUGUCCUUGCUCACUCUCUUUCACUUAAAAUGAAUGAAUUCAAUCCUAGAGUCUCAUGAGAGGAGAUCACUCAGCCUGCUAGAAGGACCAUCCUGUCUGGAAUCACAGGAAUUAAGAGAAACCACAACUUUUCUCAACUCUCAGCGCAACAUAAAACAUGUCAGCACUUGGGAAAAGGCAGGUUUUGAAGCCAGGAGCCCCUCUUCUUGAGAUCUAUUGGCAACCAUCUUGUGAAGGAAGAGCCCAUUGUGUAGGAGGCAGAUGCUGGAGAAAAAGAGACAACAGGGCCGGGUUUUAUCAUUUGAGACUUGAGUAAAGUCAUACCGGAAGUCACACCCAGUCUACCCUGGGAAGCUUGGUUACAAGGGCCAGUAAAUUCCCUUUUCUUUUCUUUUCUUUUCUUUUUUUUCUUUUUUUUUUUUAAGAGAUGGGGGUCUUACUCUGUUUCCCAGGUUACUCUCGAACUCCUGGCCUGAAGCCCCCUGUCUCUGCCUCCCAAAGUUCUGGGAUUACAGGCUUGAGCUACUGUGCCUGACUAAAUUCCCUUUUUGAUUAAGCCUGUUUAGAUUAGGUUUCUUGUCAACCUGCAACUGAAAGAAUUAUCGCCAAUACAAGGUACAAAGUCCUGAAAGGUAAGCUCUUUGAAGCACAAGAAAAGCAGGAACCCUCAGUCUUCUUUAUAAAGGAGAUGUCCUCAUGAGAGAGACACGGGCCACUGGCAACUUGAAUUCAUCUGGAAUAUUCAUAAGCUUCUAGAAAUGGCAAAGAAAAUGGUUUAUUUGAUUGGCCAAAGAAGGACUCUCCUGAUGAUGUAAUAAUUUCAUCUCCUUGCUUCCUUGGCUGUAUUGCAGAUUUGACAAAGUAUUAAAAUGGCACAUUGUAAAAAAUCUUUAUAUUACGUAAG
rnacentral:lncRNA from 1 species